GAUGAACGCUGGCGGCGUGCCUAAUACAUGCAAGUCGAGCGAACAGACGAGGAGCUUGCUUCUCUGACGUUAGCGGCGGACGGGUGAGUAACACGUGGAUAACCUACCUAUAAGACUGGGAUAACUUCGGGAAACCGGAGCUAAUACCGGAUAAUAUUUUUAACCUCAUGGUUCAAUAGUGAAAGACGGUCUUGCUGUCACUUAUAGAUGGAUCCGCGCCGCAUUAGCUAGUUGGUAAGGUAACGGCUUACCAAGGCAACGAUGCGUAGCCGACCUGAGAGGGUGAUCGGCCACACUGGAACUGAGACACGGUCCAGACUCCUACGGGAGGCAGCAGUAGGGAAUCUUCCGCAAUGGGCGAAAGCCUGACGGAGCAACGCCGCGUGAGUGAUGAAGGUCUUCGGAUCGUAAAACUCUGUUAUUAGGGAAGAACAAAUGUGUAAGUAACUAUGCACGUCUUGACGGUACCUAAUCAGAAAGCCACGGCUAACUACGUG
rnacentral:rRNA from 1 species